rnacentral:snoRNA from 1 species
AUUGGCUCUAUCGGGAUUACACGUGUAUGUCUCUGUCACACAAGCAUCAGUAGAUGGCAAAAAGAAGAGAAGCUAUGUCUAUGCUUAAUAAGCUAACGUU